rnacentral:rRNA from 1 species
UACAGAGGUGGCAAGCGUUGUUCGGAUUUAUUGGGCGUAAAGGGUCCGUAGGCGGUUCGGAAAGUCGGAUGUGAAAUCCCACAGCUCAACUGUUGAACUGCAUUCGAAACUCCCGGACUAGAGUGUGAGAGGGGUUAAGGGAAUUCCCGGUGUAAGGGUGAAAUCUGCAGAGAUCGGGAGGAACACCAGUCGCGAAGGCGCUUAACUGGCUCAUUACUGACGCUCAGGGACGAAAGCUAGGGGAGCAAACGGG